rnacentral:rRNA from 1 species
CGAUGGUAGCUUGCUACCAGGCGUCGAGCGGCGGACGGGUGAGUAACGCGUGAGAAUCUGCCCAUUUGUGGGGGAUAACUCGGGGAAACUCGAGCUAAUACCGCAUAAUCCCUACGGGGGAAAGCAGGGGACCUUCGGGCCUUGUGCAGAUGGAUGAGCUCGCGUCGGAUUAGCUAGUUGGUGGGGUAAAGGCCUACCAAGGCGACGAUCCGUAGCUGGUCUGAGAGGAUGAUCAGCCACACUGGGACUGAGACACGGCCCAGACUCCUACGGGAGGCAGCAGUGGGGAAUCUUGGACAAUGGGGGCAACCCUGAUCCAGCCAUGCCGCGUGUGUGAAGAAGGCCUUAGGGUUGUAAAGCACUUUCAGCAGGGAGGAAGGCUUCGAGUUAAUACCUUGGAGUACUUGACGUUACCUGCAGAAGAAGCACCGGCUAAUUUCGUGCCAGCAGCCGCGGUAAUACGAAAGGUGCGAGCGUUAAUCGGAAUUACUGGGCGUAAAGCGCGCGUAGGCGGUUUGUUAAGUCAGAUGUGAAAGCCCCGGGCUCAACCUGGGAACUGCAUUUGAAACUGGCAGGCUAGAGUGCAGUAGAGGGAGGUGGAAUUUCCGGUGUAGCGGUGAAAUGCGUAGAGAUCGGAAGGAACACCAGUGGCGAAGCGGCCUCCUGGACUGACACUGACGCUGAGGUGCGAAAGCGUGGGGGAGCAAACAGGAUUAGAUACCCUGGUAGUCCACGCCGUAAACGAUGUCUACUAGUCGUU